rnacentral:rRNA from 1 species
GUGGGGAAUUUUGGACAAUGGGCGCAAGCCUGAUCCAGCAAUGCCGCGUGCAGGAAGAAGGCCUUCGGGUUGUAAACUGCUUUUGUACGGAACGAAACGGUCCUGGCUAAUAUCCGGGGCUAAUGACGGUACCGUAAGAAUAAGCACCGGCUAACUACGUGCCAGCAGCCGCGGUAAUACGUAGGGUGCGAGCGUUAAUCGGAAUUACUGGGCGUAAAGCGUGAGCAGGCGGUGCUGUAAGACAGGCGUGAAAUCCCCGGGCUCAACCUGGGAAUUGCGCUUGUGACUGCAGUGCUGGAGUGCGGCAGAGGGGGAUGGAAUUCCGCGUGUAGCAGUGAAAUGCGUAGAUAUGCGGAGGAACACCGAUGGCGAAGGCAAUCCCCUGGGCCUGCACUGACGCUCAUGCACGAAAGCGUGGGGAGCAAACAGGAUUAGAAACCCUAGUAGUCC